rnacentral:rRNA from 1 species
UACGUAGGGUGCGAGCGUUAAUCGGAAUUACUGGGCGUAAAGCGUGCGCAGGCGGUUUUGUAAGACAGAGGUGAAAUCCCCGGGCUUAACCUGGGAACUGCCUUUGUGACUGCAAGGCUUGAGUGCGGCAGAGGGGGAUGGAAUUCCGCGUGUAGCAGUGAAAUGCGUAGAUAUGCGGAGGAACACCGAUGGCGAAGGCAAUCCCCUGGGAUAACACUGACGCUCAUGCACGAAAGCGUGGGGAGCAAACAGG